AGCCUUCCAGUAUCUGAAGGGGGCCUACCGGGAUGCUGGGGAGGGACUCUUGAUCAGGGCCGGCAGCAAUAGGACUGAAAGCUGCAGAUCUCAAUGUGUAUAUUGUAAUACCUGCUACUCCACUGAUGAGCUGACUCUUACCGUGGUUGAAGUGAUCUUGGAAUGAUAAUGGAAUGUCCUGAAAGCGUCAGCUCAAUGCUUCAAGAGCAGCUGAAGCAAAUGAGGUGCUGGUAAUCUUCAAAGCAGGAAUUCAAGAUAAAACAGAAGGCACUGGUAUGCCACCAAACCAAUAGUGUGCUCUCAGCUGGAGUGCAGCAUGUCACUUGACUCCCUCGUCUCGCUUAAAGGAGAUGGAAAGGCAGUACAACUGGAAGAAGUCUGGAAAAGAGUGGCAGGGGUUAUUUUAGCCAUGGAAUAACUUCAGUAGGAGGAACCAACUUGUUUUCUUCAUCCUGGAUCUUUGCCCCAUUUGACCUUGAGGGAGAAGGAGGAAUGAAAAAGUCUGUUCCUCUUUCUCUGUAGUUUUAAAGCAAUAAGCAGCAUACAAAAGUUAACAGCAACUAUUAUUCACUGGCCCUCCCAGUAAGAAAACAAAGGAGUGUGGGAUGCAGAUUCUGCAGCAGGUGGUGCAUGGGUGCAGUGAGAGCAUGCUAGGGACAAUGGCACUGCCAGCUUGCCAGUUCAUGGAAGAACCCGGAAUGGCAGUGCAGAGGCAUUAAUCUAAACAUCCUUCUAACAACAAUAGCAAGUUUGAGGAUAAAGUUCACAUUCCUGGUGCUAUCUACCUCUCCAUCAAAUUUGACUUUCAGUGUAAUACAUAAGAGGGCUGUGAAGAGUUGCUCAUGUCCAGCAGCAGUGAUUUCCAGCAGGAUCGACUCAGCUUCCGUGGGUCUCCACAGAAGUAGAAUGACUUGGAACGUCCAGGAAGCACAUUGGUAAAAGCCCAGCAGAUAGGCUUAUCUCUUCUCCCUGCUACACAAGUGCUCAGUCUCUGUUCUCUCCUAGGCCUGGUUUUGAUAACACAGGAGCAAAUGCUGGUGAGCUGAAGGAUGACAUCUUCAAGUUGUUUGAACCCACUGAGCACCAUGACAUUGCAGGAAGCUUUUGACUUCGGGUGCUGCCAGUAGCUGGAAACAGGCAUAGGAGCUCUCUUAGCAAAGCAGUUUGGGUGACAAAGUGCAUGUUAGGAACAAAUGUGUAUACUGUAGAAAUACUUUGGAUUUUUAUGACCUUCUUUCUGUCCUUUUCCUUCCGUAUAGUUGCAGAGGUUUGCUAAGAAACUGAACUUGGAGGCCCAUUGUUUUGGAGCAGCCCUGGCUGUGAAACCUGAGUUUUACCUUGUGGAACUUCAUUUUUGGACAAGGGUGUCUGGAUUAAGGCUCUUGAUUCCCCUCAGCAGGCUUAACUGCAACCAGGCAUUUGAAGGCUUCUGGGCUUUUCAUUUGUUGGCAAGGCUUUCUCAAACCUCUUAGGAAUAGGAGAGAGCAAUGAGUCCAUUUCGUGAUGGAAAAGGGGAAAAAAAAAAUUUCUUCCCUGUUGUGUU